GGCAGGUAAGUCUUCCAACCUAAUCUCCUUGUCUCUGCGUGCUUCGUCCCUCAAUGGCAGACCUGCUCUGCUUAUGGACGAGGUUACCAUUGAUGCCCUAACCGCUCAUUUUUGGUUCACUCUGAUUGGUAAGUUCUUUUUUUCAGAGACCUUCCCUUGUUGAUAUUUGUAAAUUUUUCUUGGCCGUAAAGAUAGUUGAUAGCUUCUCUGUUGGCUGAUGAUCCUAAAAGCCCUCAUCCUGUAGCUUAAAUUAUUCAAUAGUCAAAUAAUGUGGCUGGUACUGCUUUGGUUGUGGAAAAUUUUGGGAAGACUGAAAAGCAAAGUGCCCUUAUGCCCUCAACUUGUGGAUCAGAUCCAUGUUGAGAUUUUAGGGGAUCAUCAACAGCUUCAUUUAAGGCGAACUCUGUGGGAUAUCUCUGUUAAUCUUAAUGGUCCCUAGUGCAUUGUGGGUGAUUUCAACUGCAUUUCAUCCCCUUCUGAAAGACGUGCUCGUAAUGUUGCUUCUAUUCGUUUGAUGGAGGACUUUAAUGAUGUUAUCCUUGAUUGUAACCUUGCUGACAUUGGUUUUACUGAUUUGUCCUGUACUUGGUCAAAUAAAAGGUUAUGGGAAAGGGUUGACCGAUUCCUUUUUAACAACCAUUGGGUUAAUAACAUUUUGGCCACUCACAUUGAACAUCUCAAUAGGUCUCAAUAUGAUCACUCGCCGUUGUU